rnacentral:lncRNA from 1 species
GAGACAGCUGUGACUUCCUAUUCCCUUUUCCCAGCCCCCAGGCUCAAAAAUAUGGUGGGUCUGAGGUUCUACUCCCCAACCCCGGCCAACGCUCAGGCCUAGACAAGAGUUGGAUGCUCCACGGGAGUAAUGUGAGACCCAGGAAGGCCACGUCUCAUUUUAACUUCCUCUCCUCUAUUCCAUACCACAAUCUCCGGGGAGCUUCAAUGGGUGGAGAAAGUUCUAUGCCUGCAAGAACUGAAUUUACCAUCAGUGCCUUCAUAUUUGUGAUAACCUUGUUUUCCCAUUCCUGCAGGGAUGCUGCGCUGAGUGAAGAUCUUCAUGAAUACCGUGUGUGAGCCUUCGAAACGCAUUGUGCCUCUUCCACUGGUCAGCACGUCUCCGUUUGGACUGGCCACGUUCUCAAAAGCCGCAAGCGGCUGAGGACUACCACGGAGGCCACACAGCUCCAGUCCGUUCUACUGGUUGUUAUGAGUUCAGUGUUAGUGCCGCCCCCACCCCCCAAAAUUUGCAUGUUGAAGUCCUAACCCCCAGUGUGAUGGGCUUGGACGUGGGGACGUCAGGAGAUAAUCAGGGUUCGGUGCAAUCCUGGUGAUACGACCCUCGUGCUGGGACGAGUGCCCUCAUGAGAAUAGGCCAGAGGACUUGCUCUCCUGCCACGUGAGGACACAGUGAGAGGGUGGCCGUCUGCAGCCCAGGAAGACCCUGACCUGCUGGCACCCCGAUCUCAGACUCCCA